CUCCGGCGACUCCGUCUCCGUAUAUAAUUGCCUGAGUUGGCGUCUGACCGUGGAAACCAACAACAAGCGCAACUGGAAUGGUGUCCCAGAAAUAUGCGGGAACUACGUUGAAAACUACAUGACUGGCAAGCAAUACGGUUAUGACUGUGAAGCCGUGGUUGAUAUUGCCAUCAAGUAUGUUAAGAGUCUCCCCAUACCCAGAGAUGGCAGGAGCAUUUGGAUCUUCGACAUCGAUGACACUGCACUUUCUAACUUGCCCUUCUUCU
rnacentral:lncRNA from 1 species